UCAUGUUCUCGCGGUCGCCUCUCCCUCUACACCUCCCCACAAGCAGAGGGAGGCAGCUUAGGCCUCAGCCAGCCCAGAGAGCGGCUCUCACGGUGCCGCGGCGGGCUGAAGCAGGCGCUGCCAGAGUGGACGUCCAGGCCGAGUAGGCGCUGAGAGUAAGGGCUGCGAGCACAUUGUCACCUCUCAGCCUCAGUGGAACUGCUGGAUCAUAUAGUAAUUCUAUGUUUAAUUUUUUGAGCAACUGCCAUACUGUAUCAUUCACCGUGAAGGUCUGCAGCUUCACUCCUGAAGCCAGCGGGACCGCCAACCCAGCGGGGAAGAAUGAACAAUUCUAGACGCGCUGCCUUUAAGAGCUGUAACACUCACCAGAAAGUAUGCGGCUUCACUCCUGACAGCGAGAGUACGAACCCGCCAGAAAGAAGCAGCUCCAGACACAUCUGAAUGUCUGAAGGAACAAGCUCUGGGCACACCAUCUUUAAGAACUGUAAAACACCGCGAGAGUCUCCGGCUUCAUUUUUGAAGUCAGUGAGACCAAGAACCCACCAAUUCCAGACACAAGGCUACACCCAAAAGAACGGAAAGCAGGGAUUUGGACAGAUAUUUGUACACUCAUGAUCACAAAGCAAGAUUAUUCACAAUAGCCUAAAGGUAGAAGCAACCCACGUGUCCAAAAUAAACCAUACAGUGGAAUGUUAUUCUGUCUCUAGAAGGAAGGAAAUUCUGAAGCAUGCUACAAGAUGGAUGAACCUUGAGGACAUAAGCUGAGUGAAAUAAACCAGUCACAAAAGGACAAAUAUUACGUGAUUCAACUUAUAUGAGAUUUAGGAGUAGUCAAAUUCAUAGAGACAAGGUAUACUGGUGAUUUCCUUCCGGGAACUGGAAGAGGCGGGAAAUGGGCAGUUACUGUUCAGCAAAGUUUCACUGGGAAGAUGAACAAGUUAUGGAGAUGUAUGGUGGUGGUGAUUGCAAGACACUGUGAAUGUACAGUCUCCAAUUUACAAUGGUCUGACUUACGAUUUUUCAACUUUAUGAUGAUGCGAAAGUGAUAUUCAGUAGAAACCGUACUUCAGAUUUUGAAUUUUGAUCUUAUCCUGGGCCAGCAUGUGCAGUGGUGUACUCACUCAUGAUGAUGGACAGCGACAGCAAGCCACAGCUCCAGUCAGGGACACAAUCAUGAGGGUAAACAACCAAUACUCUGCAGCGCACUAUGUUGCCAGUAUUUUUGGGAUAUGAUUUUGCCAAUCUAUAGGCUAAUGUAAGUGUUCUGAGCACGUUUAAGCCCCAGCAUGUGUUACGGUCCGGAUUUAGUUGCUUGCUGUGUGAUAAGGACGCAAGUCUCCUCAAAGGCAUGUUCCUAAUCAGGGCUUUAAGUCGUAAAGGACGAAAGGCUAUGGGGAGCUCUCCAACUGUGAAGUGAAGAAUUCCCUACGCCAGCACUUCUUCAACUCAUGCUCUGCAGAAUGGGGUUUUGACAUAAUUUGGUGUCAGAAGUGAGACUGAAGCUGGCUCGCCUUAGACAGAUGGACAACCCCUGAAAUUGAGUGAAUUGCAUGCCCUGAGCCCUUUGGAGCUCUCCACCUCCAUGGGUCACCUUUUCUGCCCUGGCGAAUCUCCUCUCACAUUCCUGGACUCCCUCUUUUUGAGGUAUCUUCACCCUCAACAAUCCUCCUGAAGGAUGCUCAUCCUGAUUGCAGCACUAUUCACAAUAGCAAAGACUUGGAACCAACCCAAAUUCCCAUCAAUGAUAGA